rnacentral:rRNA from 1 species
UACGUAGGUGACAAGCGUUGUCCGGAUUUACUGGGCGUAAAGGGCGUGCAGGCGGUGGUGCGCGUUUUGUGUGACAGCGCGAGGCUUAACUUUGCGAGGAUACGAAAGACGGCAGCACUUGAGAGCGCGAGAGGGACACGGAAUUCCGGGUGGAGUGGUGAAAUGCGUAGAGAUCCGGAGGAACACCGAAGGCGAAGGCAGUGUCCUGGCGCGCAUCUGACGCUGAGGCGCGAAAGCCAGGGGAGCGAACGGG